UUUGACCUCAAAUCAGGUAGGACUACCCGCUGAACUUAAGCAUAUCAAUAAGCGGAGGAAAAGAAACUAACAAGGAUUCCCCUAGUAACUGCGAGUGAAGCGGGAAAAGCUCAAAUUUAAAAUCUGGCGGUCUUCUGGCUGUCCGAGUUGUAAUCUAGAGAAGUGUUAUCCGCGCUGGACCGUGUACAAGUCUCCUGGAAUGGAGCAUCAUAGAGGGUGAGAAUCCCGUCUUUGACAUGGACUACCAGGGCUUUGUGAUGCGCUCUCAAAGAGUCGAGUUGUUUGGGAAUGCAGCUCAAAAUGGGUGGUAAAUUCCAUCUAAAGCUAAAUAUUGGCGAGAGACCGAUAGCGAACAAGUACCGUGAGGGAAAGAUGAAAAGAACUUUGGAAAGAGAGUUAAACAGUACGUGAAAUUGCUGAAAGGGAAACGCUUGAAGUCAGUCACGUCGUCCAGGGAUCAACCUUGCUUUUGCUUGGUGCACUUUCUGGUUUGACGGGUCAGCAUCAAUUUUGACCAUUGGAAAAAGGUUAAGGGAAUGUGGCAUCUCUGGAUGUGUUUAUAGCC
rnacentral:rRNA from 1 species